rnacentral:rRNA from 1 species
UACGAAGGGGGCUAGCGUUGUUCGGAAUUACUGGGCGUAAAGCGCGCGCAGGCGGUCUUCCAAGUCAGUGGUGAAAGCCCCGGAGCUCAACUCCGGAACUGCCAUUGAAACUGUGAGACUUGAGUACGAGAGAGGUGAGUGGAAUUCCCAGUGUAGAGGUGAAAAUUCGUAGAUAUUGGGAAGAACACCGGUGGCGAAGGCGGCGACCUGGUCCGAUACUGACGCUGAGGCGCGAAAGCGUGGGGGAGCAAACAGG